AAAGAAUUAGUUAAUUUAUAACAUAAAUUUGUCAAAUUUAAAUAAUUUUUUUAAAAAAUAUUCUUUU
rnacentral:tRNA from 1 species